UCUCAAAUGUGUUAUUCUGUAGGCUUCUCUUAGCGGUGCUGCAUUACAACUGUAAUGCGAACAGAGAGACCGCACGAAGAAGCGAUGGUUUGGAGAGGUAUAGCGUGCGAUAUCCACGUUUCAGAAAAGGUGCCUGGGUAGUGGUUCCCAUCAAAGAGAAGGCCUCAUACGGUUAUGCAACGUCAUUAAUCGAGGCCCUUCGGGAGAGCUACAUGGAUUCACCCAAGGCUCUUCAAGAGGUUAGCGCGAAUUUGUCAGCCUGUGCACCCGCCCCCAUCGCCAAAUCCUUCCAACAAAUUCCCAAGGAGGAGGCCGUCAGCCUCCAUCUAGCCCAGCAGUCACGCUACAAAAAAUUGAAUUAGAAUUUUUUUUUUCCCAGACAGGUCCAAUCAUUUAGUUGUGAGUAUGUAUGUAUGUAUAUAGAAAGUAUAUGUUAUUUUAUUUGGUGGUGGUUUUCUGUAUGCCGCAUGUUUUGUUUUCUCUUUGUGUGCUGUUUAUUGCUUGGGUUUUUUGAUUGUUCCAGGAAGUUUAUUAUAACCCUACAUUUUAACCCCUUGCGCUGACCCUAACAUCUCUGUCGACUAACAUUAUCUCUUGGUUAUUUAUGGCUGUAACCCAUUCAUUCCUUUAUCAGCAUCACCAUGGUUACCGCCUCACUGCAUGUCACAUGUUUUGUUUUUAUUGCUUGGUUUUUUUACUUAGUUGUGUGCACAAAUCAUUCCUUUACAGCUCCAUUUGCCCCAUAAUUCAUAAAAAAAAAAUUAAGAAUCCGAAAGUGACCUCUGUGUGCGCUUUUCUCUUGGAUCACUAUGCGUCUGCUCUAUGUGAUAUCAUUGCAUGUAUGUGUCCGUGAGUGAGUGAGAACCAUCAGCUGACCCUCAGGUACGAUCACACUAUUGCAAGAUUAUUUUAUGUUGGUUUCUUUGUGCCUAACCCUUUUUUUCUUGAGAUUUGUUUACUUUAUCAGGCCUUUCAACCUGUCCCUUUUUUCAGUAAUCGAUCCCCAUUACUAGGGAUGACCUAAUAAACUGUUUUUAUAUGAA